rnacentral:rRNA from 1 species
CCCUGCCAUUUGUACACACCGCCCGUCGCACCUACCGAUUGAAUUGUCAAGUGAAAUCUUUGGAUUUUUACUUUUGUUGUUUAUUCAACUUGGGUAGAAAGAAAUUGAGUGAACUUUACUAUUUAGAGGAAGGUGAAGUCGUAACAAGGUCUC